rnacentral:rRNA from 1 species
UACGUAGGGUGCAAGCGUUGUCCGGAAUUAUUGGGCGUAAAGAGCUCGUAGGCGGUCUGUCGCGUCGGCUGUGAAAUCCCGAGGCUCAACCUCGGGUCUGCAGUCGAUACGGGCAAACUGGAGUGUUGCAGGGGAGACUGGAAUUCCUGGUGUAGCGGUGAAAUGCGCAGAUAUCAGGAGGAACACCGGUGGCGAAGGCGGUUCUCUGGGCAUUACCUGACGCUGAGGAGCGAAAGUGUGGGGAGCGAACAGG